rnacentral:tmRNA from 1 species
GGGGCUGACCUGGUUUCGACGUGGGUCACAAAACCUGAGGUGCAUGCCGAGGUGCAGAUCUCCUCGUAAAUCCAACUGCAAAACUUAUAGUUGCCAACGACGACAACUACGCACUAGCUGCUUAAACACCAGUCUUAGUGCCCUCGGCCUGACGUGUGCUUGUGCACUCAGAUCACCGGGGUCGACUCUCACAAGAUCGCGAUGAGGUAUGUUCAGGGCCAAUUCGCUAAAACCUAACUGGGCUCGUUGUACGUCUUCCCUGCCAGUCGGGUAGCGUGCAAUUAAACUCAAAGACUUGGCUAAGCAUGUAGAUCCAAAGGCGGAGGUCUUGCGGACGCGGGUUCGACUCCCGCCAGCUCCACCA